rnacentral:rRNA from 1 species
AUUAACGCUAGCGGCAGGCAUAAUACAUGCAAGUUGAACGGCAGCACAGGUAGCAAUACCGGGUGGCGAGUGGCGCACGGGUGCGUAACACGUAUGCAACCUACCCUAUACAGGCGAAUAACCUUUAGAAAUGAGGGCUAAUACGCCGUGGUAUUAUCUUGGGGCAUCUUGAGAUAAUUAAAGAUUUAUCGGUAUAGGAUGGGCAUGCGUCCCAUUAGUUAGUUGGUAGGGUAACGGCCUACCAAGGCGAUGAUGGGUAG